rnacentral:rRNA from 1 species
GACGAACGCUGGCGGCGUGCUUAACACAUGCAAGUCGAACGAUGAACCGGAGCUUGCUCUGGGGAUUAGUGGCGAACGGGUGAGUAACACGUGGGCAACCUGCCCCAGACACCGGGAUAACCAUUCGAAAGGAUGGCUAAUACCGGAUACGACCACGUCGGGCAUCCGAUGGUGGUGGAAAGGAUUCUGGUCUGGGAUGGGCCCGCGGCCGAUCAGCUUGUUGGGGGGGUAAUGGCCUACCAAGGCGAGGACGGGUAGCCGGCCUGAGAGGGGGACCGGCCACACUGGGACUGAGACACGGCCCAGACUCCUACGGGAGGCAGCAGUGGGGAAUAUUGCGCAAUGGGCGAAAGCCUGACGCAGCGACGCCGCGUGAGGGACGAAGGUCUUCGGAUUGUAAACCUCUUUCAGCAGGGAUGAAGCGAAAGUGAAAGUACCUGCAGAAGAAGCACCGGCUAACUACGUGCCAGCCGCCGCAGUAACAC